ensembl:snoRNA small nucleolar RNA U2-30
GAGCAACGAUGAAAAGGUUUUGCUACUGACCUUUAUAACUAUGAACAUUUCUACCCUUGAUCUGAGCUCA